GGGGUAUUCACAGUGUAUUAGGUCUUGAGGAGACUCUCUGUGCUUAGUGACUCAGAACAAGUGGGUGGAACUUGUAUAUGGGUGGUUUACAGGGUCUUCAGAUGCUAGUAGGCUGGGAGGGUGGUUUACGGGGUAUUCAGGGUGUAUUAGGUCUUGAGGAGACGCUGUGUGUAAAGGUGGCAGUAAUGGAACAGGUGUUAAUAUGUUCUCUGCAGAAUAAUAAGGAUACUGACGAGCUCCUGGAGAACCUGAGCAGCUGCCCGAACUCUGAGGACCAGUGUGAUGAUCUCUGGAGCAUGGACGAUGUGAGCUGCUCUCAGAUCAGUUCUGCUUACUGUAUCAUAGAGCUUUAUAUCACUUUUAUGGACGUUGUGCUCUGCAGGUCCUGGACUGUGUAUCUGCCACUCCACCCGGCACUACAGCAGCGGCAGCAGCAGCAGAGGAGGAGGAGGUGGGGGGCCGGGGCAGCGCGGCGGCGGUACAGUGCGUCAUCCCCGUCUACAUCGUUCAGGUCGGCCCUGAUCACACCCUGGUUUAUCAGACGAGAUGAAGCUGAACCACUGCUGGGAUUUUUUUUUUUUUUUCAGCACUGGGUGAAUUCUAAUAUGGUACAAAAUACGUUUAAAUACUGCUGAAAAAAGAAUACUAAUAUUAAUACUAAUUAUAAUUUAAAUUAUUCUGUUUAGCAGAUAUCAGCAGGCAGAAUUAGUUAGUUUGUGAUUUAUUGUAUUUAUUUGUGAUGUAAAUGCAUUGAUUUUUGAUUUAGUUUGUUCAUAUGAGCACCACUGUACAUAAGUAAUAAAUAAAUAAACACCAGCA
rnacentral:lncRNA from 1 species